CCUACAUAACACAUUGAACACCGAGAAGUCAAGCUGAUGCAUACCAAAACCCUUCAUCCAUAUUGACUAGUGUUCAUAGUAUUUGAAGGCUCUCUGCAUGCUACCAGAGGAGAAAGGCUGCGUGUGUCUUCGGGAGAUCCUGCCAUGCUUUGCUUUGGAGAAUGACGACCGUGCAGCAUCUAUUGAUGCUCCUGAUGUGAACUCUAUCAGAGUCACAAUUGGCUCCUGGAUUCAAUGAAAAAUGGCUUGUUAAAAUUGCCAGGAGUCAUCAGUCAACUUAAACUCACCUCUUGUGAAUGUCUUAGAUGUGGUCUCACAGGGAAUACUGUGAGACCUCCAAGGAAUACCUUUGGUGACAUAAACAAACUGCAAUCAUGAGAAUACCUUUGAGGCAAUUCACUAGUGAACUGCUGCUGCUUCUCCGGAAGGUAAUGCUGCUGAGAGGUGGGGAAGAUGGCUUCAUGGCAAACAGCGAUGCUCUUCUACAGGCAGCAGAAAGAGGAAAGUGUGUGGUCAGUUGGAGGUGUUUUAAAAACUACUUUUGUCCAUCAGAAGCUGACUUGGAACACGGCAACUCUGUAGAUAUUCCUGCCUUAGCCUCCUGAGCACUGAGAUGACAGGUUUGCACCACCAUGCCUUGCUGGCAUGUCUUUAUUUAUUUAGCAAAUAUCUGUUAACCUCUAUUAUGGUCUAGACACAGUGUAUAUAAAAACUCACACAAGAAGGUUCCUGAGGCUUCUGAUCUUCCAUUCUGGUGUAGGAAACAUACUAGACAAUUGAAUGUGUAAAGAGAUAUUUUCAGAUGGCAGUGUGCAAAGUGCCGAGCAGGCCUGACUCCAUACAUAGUGCCAUCCCUUUGUGUCUGUGGGUUUUGCACCUGUGGAUUUAACCAACAUGGGAUCAAUAGUAUUGGAAUGAAAAAUUACAUUUGUAUUGAACAUGUACAAGUUUUACCCCUUUCCAUUAUAACUUAAAGUGCACAACACAGCAUUCACUUACAUAAUAUUUACAUUAUAUUGAAUAGAAGACAUAAUCAAGGGUUGAUUGAGAAUAUAUGGGAGAUUUGCACAGGUUAUAUAUGAAUACUAUACCUCUUUAUUAUAUAAG
rnacentral:lncRNA from 1 species